rnacentral:rRNA from 1 species
AGUGAACGCUGGCGGUAGGCCUAACACAUGCAAGUCGAACGGCAGCACAGUAAGAGCUUGCUCUUACGGGUGGCGAGUGGCGGACGGGUGAGGAAUAAAUCGGAAUCUACUUUUUCGUGGGGGAUAACGUAGGGAAACUUACGCUAAUACCGCAUACGACAUACGGGUGAAAGCAGUGGAUCUUCGGACCUUGCGCGAUUGAAUGAGCCGAUGUCGGAUUAGCUAGUUGGCGGGGUAAAGGCCCACCAAGGCGACGAUCCGUAGCUGGUCUGAGAGGAUGAUCAGCCACACUGGAACGGAGACACGGUCCAGACUCCUACGGGAGGCAGCAGUGGGGAAUAUUGGACAAUGGGCGCAAGCCUGAUCCAGCCAUACCGCGUGGGUGAAGAAGGCCUUCGGGUUGUAAAGCCCUUUUGUUGGGAAAGAAAAGCAGCAGGUUAAUACCCCGCUGUUCUGACGGUACCCAAAGAAUAAGCACCGGCUAACUUCGUG